rnacentral:misc_RNA from 1 species
CAACAUUGCAAAAGAAUAGUUUACUAUAAAACUAAAGCAAUGGCAUUGCAAAGUAAAUACAAUUAAGAGAGUCAGAUAAUCAACUUGUUCACAUAAUCAUGAAUUUGAAUUAAUACACAUUUAUAUCUCCAAAUUAUAAGCAUUACUAGUUUUCACAUUGAAGUAUAACUGGAAGAUGGUUAAAAUAGCCAAGAAAGUUUUACAAAAAAGUGUAAAUCCAGCAACUAGUAUAUCUGACCAACAUAAAUAAAUCAAUCACAAAGCUAUUACAGAAAGAGAUCCCACUGCACGACCAAGACAAGAAAGAAAAUAGUUAAACAAACUAAAUACAACAAAAAGUAAGGACUAAACUUUCAAAGGCCAAAUAUGUGGCAUUGAGAUUACAGCGGGCAAACCCACAUGCAAAGCAAAGUGCAAAAAAGAACAAAUCUUUAAGAGAUGAUUUUUUUCCUUACUGACAAAUCAAUAAAAGAAAUAUUUUAGGGAAAAAAAUUGUUUAAAUUGUGAUGAAAGCAAGCAGCCAUCAGGCACAUUGUGACCAGUGUCAGCUAAGCAACCUGAAAGAGGUUUUCUUUUCUGACAGCUACAAAUUUAAUUCCUUUGGAAAUUAAAGUAGAAGUUUGCCCUUAUGCUAAAGGUAACUCAUGCUUUGACAAACGUACACUUCUUUUGGUCUAUUUGCUCUUGUUUAUGGAGAUUUGUAGACCUGUAGUCUAAUUACAUAGAGAAGCAGAACUGCAACCUGUUGUAGCAAAAGUUUAUCAACUUGUAACAGUGCCCCCAACUCAUGUAUCCUAAAGCUGUUUUGUAUCCAAAGCUAUAUCACAUUUCAU